rnacentral:rRNA from 1 species
CCCCUAGAUGUUCUGGGCCGCACGCGCGCUACACUGAACAGUUCAACAAGUCUUAACCUUGGCCGAUAGGUCUGGGUAAUCUUUGAACGCUGUUCGUGACUGGGAUAGACCUUUGCAAUUAUGGGUCUUCAACGAGGAAUUCCUAGUAAACGCAAGUCAUCAGCUUGCAUUGAUUACGUCCCUGCCCUUUGUACACACCGCCCGUCGCACCUACCGAUUGAAUGGCCCGGUGAAAUCUCGGGACGGCGGCUUGGUCGCUUGCGUCCGACUGCUGAAACUUGAUUAAACCAUAUCAUUUAGAGGAAGGUGAAGUCGUAACA